AUGAAUAAUAAUAAUAAUAAUAAAAAAAGAACAUUUUAAAAGAAUUUUGGGCUAAAUACCAAAUUCUCAAAUCUACAAGAUCCGCUUUUUAUUAUUUACCCAUCACAGUCUUGACGUUAUUUGAUAAUGCAGCUGCUGAUGUUUGCUCCAUGAAACCAAUUGUCUUGUGAAGGUCUGCUCUGGCCAACACAGCAAGAAAGGAAAUUUCCUGUGGAGUGGCUUUUAUUGUGAAGCAUGGCAGGAAUGACUUCUCUGACCCAACAUGUGAAGUGGCCUCCCAAACAAAUACAAUUUUGAUAAUUUGCUUAUUUAUAGCAUGCUGCACUUUCUAGUCUUACUCAUGAUCAGGGUGCCAAUUUGCAAACACACAAAGACUUUUUGUUGAAGUGGGUAGAGCAGGCAAAGAGAUAAGUAAGGAAACAGGAAAAUAAAAUGUCUUUUUUUUUCUCCA
rnacentral:lncRNA from 1 species